rnacentral:rRNA from 1 species
CUCGACUCCAUGAAGUCGGAAUCGCUAGUAAUCGCAAAUCAGAAUGUUGCGGUGAAUACGUUCCCGGGCCUUGUACACACCGCCCGUCACACCAUGGGAGUGGAUUGCACCAGAAGUGGUUAGUCUAACCUUCGGGAGGACGAUCACCACGGUGUGGUUCAUGACUGGGGUGAAGUCGAAACAAGGUAGCCGUAGGGGAACCUGCGGCUGGAUCAC